rnacentral:rRNA from 1 species
AACGAACGCUGGCGGCAGGCCUAACACAUGCAAGUCGAACGCCCCGCAAGAUGAGUGGCAGACGGGGGAGUAACGCGAGGGAAUCUACCUGGUUCUACGGAACAACAGGUGGAAACUACUGCUAAUACCGUAAACGCACUAAGGAGGGACGAUUUAUCGGAAUUAGAUGCGCCCGCGUAAGAUUAGCUGGUUGGUGGGGUAAUGGCCUACCAAGGCGACGAUCUUUAGCUGGUCUGAGAGGAUGAUCAGCCACACUGGGACGUGAGACACGGCCCAGACUCCUACGGGAGGCAGCAGUGGGGAAUAUUGGACAAUGGGCGAAAGCCUGAUCCAGCCAUGCCGCGUGAGUGAUGAAGGCCCUAGGGUUGUAAAGCUCUUUCACCGAUGAAGAUAAUGACGGUAGUCGGAGAAGAAGCCCCGGCUAACUUCGUGCCAGCCGCCGCCGUAACAC